AGAUUGAACGCUGGCGGCAGGCCUAACACAUGCAAGUCGAGCGGCAGCACGGGUACUUGUACCUGGUGGCGAGCGGCGGACGGGUGAGUAAUGCCUAGGAAUCUGCCUGGUAGUGGGGGAUAACGCUCGGAAACGGACGCUAAUACCGCAUACGUCCUACGGGAGAAAGCAGGGGACCUUCGGGCCUUGCGCUAUCAGAUGAGCCUAGGUCGGAUUAGCUAGUUGGUGAGGUAAUGGCUCACCAAGGCGACGAUCCGUAACUGGUCUGAGAGGAUGAUCAGUCACACUGGAACUGACGACACGGUCCCAG
rnacentral:rRNA from 1 species